rnacentral:rRNA from 1 species
UCCAGCCGCGCGGUAAUACCGGCAGCUCGAGUGAUGGCCGAUUUUAUUGGGCCUAAAGCGUCCGUAGCCGGCCACACAAGUCCAUCGGGAAAUCCGCCAGCCUAACUGGCGGGCGUCCGGUGGAACCUGUGUGGCUUGGGACCGGAAGACCCAACGGGUACGUCUUGGGUAGGAGUGAAAUCCUGUAAUCCUGGACGGACCACCGAUAGCGAAAGCACGUUGGGAAGACGGAUCCGACGGUGAGGGACGAAAGCCAGGGUCUCGAACCGGAUUAGAUACCCUUGUAGUCC